rnacentral:rRNA from 1 species
CACGUAAUGGUGGGCACUCUAAGGAGACUGCCGGUGACAAACCGGAGGAAGGUGGGGAUGACGUCAAGUCAUCAUGGCCCUUACGGCCUGGGCUACACACGUGCUACAAUGGUCGGUACAGAGGGUUGCCAAGCCGCGAGGUGGAGCUAAUCCCAGAAAACCGAUCGUAGUCCGGAUCGCAGUCUGCAACUCGACUGCGUGAAGUCGGAAUCGCUAGUAAUCGCGAAUCAGAAUGUCGCGGUGAAUACGUUCCCGGGCCUUGUACACACCGCCCGUCACACCAUGGGAGUGGGUUGCACCAGAAGUAGCUA